rnacentral:rRNA from 1 species
AUACGGAGGGUGCAAGCGUUAUCCGGAAUCAUUGGGUUUAAAGGGUCCGUAGGCGGGCUAUUAAGUCAGAGGUGAAAUCCCACAGCUCAACUGUGGAACUGCCUUUGAUACUGAUAGUCCUGAGUUACAGUGAAGUAGAUAGAAUAUGUAGUGUAGCGGUGAAAUGCAUAGAUAUUACAUAGAAUACCGAUUGCGAAGGCAGUCUACUAACUGUAUACUGACGCUGAUGGACGAAAGCGUGGGGAGCGAACAGGAUUAGAUACCCAGUAGUCC